AAAAAGUAGGUGACAUGUGGGUAUUUUUCUGUCUCUGCGAUUCUGAGUUGUUUUUUACCAUGAUUACUCAAAACUUCUCCCAAAGUAUUUUUUAAAAUACCUGGCA
rnacentral:ribozyme from 12 species